GUGCUUGCUUCGGCAGCACAUAUACUAAAAUUGGAAUGUUACUGAGAAGAUUAGCAUGGCCCCUGUGCAAGGACGACAAGCAAAUGCGUGAAGCAUUCCUUAUUUUU
ensembl:snRNA U6 U6 spliceosomal RNA